AGAUCAUGUUGAGGACAAUCACAAAGUAAUCUCUUGUAAUGUUCCCAUGCUUCAUAUCAAGACUCUCCAUCUAAUUGUUGGAAAUUCAUGAUGUUCUUCUUCAACUU